rnacentral:rRNA from 1 species
UACGUAGGGUGCAAGCGUUGUCCGGAAUUAUGGGGCGUAAAGAGCUCGUAGGCUGUUCGAUAAGUCGGGUGUGAAACCUCCAGGCUCAACCUGGAGACGCCACCCGAUACUGUCAUGACUAGAGUCCGGUAGGGGAGCGUGGAAUUCCUGGUGUAGCGGUGAAAUGCGCAGAUAUCAGGAGGAACACCAGCGGCGAAGGCGGCGCUCUGGGCCGGUACUGACGCUGAGGAGCGAAAGCGUGGGUAGCAAACAGG